rnacentral:rRNA from 1 species
UACGAAGGGGGCUAGCGUUGCUCGGAAUCACUGGGCGUAAAGCGCACGUAGGCGGUUCUUUAAGUCAGGGGUGAAAUCCUGGAGCUCAACUCCAGAACUGCCUUUGAUACUGGGGAUCUCGAGUCCGGGAGAGGUGAGUGGAACUCCGAGUGUAGAGGUGAAAUUCGUAGAUAUUCGGAAGAACACCAGUGGCGAAGGCGGCUCACUGGCCCGGUACUGACGCUGAGGUGCGAAUGCGUGGGGAGCAAACAGG